rnacentral:rRNA from 1 species
AUUGAACGCUGGCGGCAGGCCUAACACAUGCAAGUCGAACGAGUGGCGGACGGGUGAGUAAGGUCUGGGAAACUGCCUGAUGGAGGGGGAUAACUACUGGAAACGGUAGCUAAUACCGCAUACCAUCGGAUGUUCCCAGAUGGGAUUAGCUAGUAGGUGGGGUAAAGGCUCACCUAGGCGACGAUCCCUAGCUGGUCUGAGAGGAUGAACGGCCAGACUGGAAAUGAGACACGAGCCAGACUCUGACGGGAGGCAGGAGUGGGGAAUAUUGCACAAUGGGCGCAAGCCAGAUGCAGCCAGGCCGCGUGUAUGAAGUGGGCCGUCGGGUUGUAAAGUACUUUCAGCGGGGAGGCGUUACCCGCAGAAGAAGCACCGGCUAACUCCGUGCCAGCAGCCGCGGUAAUUC